rnacentral:lncRNA from 1 species
CGCCCUCUCUCGUUUCCCCAGCAUCCCUGACAGCAUCCCGAGCGUUCUCCAAUCGACUAUCGGGAGACAUCCCGGUGAACCCGCCCCGACACCUGACGCUACGUCGCCAUUCCGCCGCAUUUCGUAAUUCACGCGACAAUAUUUUACACAGUAUCCCGGAUACGAGGACCCUUUUAUCGAUUAUUCGAUACCUCGACGCCGAAGGUUUUCUUUUUUUAAGAAAAUCGACGCCGGAUUUGUUAUCAUCGAAACCGAUAGUUUUUUUAAUUUUGAGUUCGUAUUUGGCGACAUGAAAGAAAAGAUAGUACGAAGCCACCCACGCUUUAAAGGGGCAGAAACGUGGAACCCGCAAUUAUGCAAAUUGGUCAAUCGGACUUUAAUCUACUUUCAAUCAGGCGGCCAACACCCAUCUCGGAAAUUGCUCGCGCGGGAGUUAAGGGGGUUGACGCGUGCGACCGAGAGUUACGACAAGGCGCCCCGUAUUAAUUACGAAAUUGGUGCCAUCAUCGCCCUCCGAUCGAUGCCGCUUUCGAUUGAUUCCGUCCUUCGAAUUUCUCGUGUGACCGGAGAUAAAGGAAUCGACUUCCCUCUUUGAUCGUCGAGCCUUCCACACUCGUCGCAUUUCCGCCCUGACCUCGCCAUUCAACAGACAAUAAAGAAAAGCCACGAAGGAACCCUAGUAAAAUGUGUUCUCUGAUAAAAACGUUCUUUCCAUCGACAAAGACGACGUCCCAUGCCAAUCCGAUGCCAUCUAUGAAACUCCAAUCCUUGAGAAGUGCCAUGAAAGCUCUCAUAAUAAAGGAUGCAAACAAAUGCAUG